UAGGGAAUCUUCCGCAAUGGACGCAAGUCUGACGGAGCGACGCCGCGUGAGCGAUGAAGGUCUUCGGAUCGUCCCGCUCUGUUGUUACGGAAGAACAAGUAUCGGAGUAACUGCCGGUACCCUGACGGUACCUAACCAGAAAGCCCCGGCUAACUACGUG
rnacentral:rRNA from 1 species